CAGCCGCCACGGUAAUACGAAGGUGGCUAGCGUUGUUCGGAAUUACUGGGCGUAAAUCGCACGUAGGCGGACAUUUAAGUCAGGGGUGAAAUCCCGGGGCUCAACCCCGGAACUGCCUUUGAUACUGGGUGUCUAGAGUAUGGAAGAGGUGAGUGGAAUUCCGAGUGUAGAGGUGAAAUUCGUAGAUAUUCGGAGGAACACCAGUGGCGAAGGCGGCUCACUGGUCCAUUACUGACGCUGAGGUGCGAAAGCGUGGGGAGCAAACAGGAUUAGAUACCCGUGUAGUCCCUGUCUCUUAUAC
rnacentral:rRNA from 1 species